GGGGUUUGCUUGCAGCCUCUAACAUUCUGGGAACAGGUUCAUCAGGUAAGGCAGCACUCAGUAACACAAGAUUUGGUGGAGGAUUGCGAAGCAUUUCAAGAACAACAGCUCUAUCAAGGCAUAGGUCAGCAGCAAGAUUCUUUAUAUUUAACUUACGCCGUCCCUUUUUCAAGGCAUAUGCCAGUUUCUUAAGUUGCCAAUUUUUCAAUUUCACUAGCAUAUCUACAUCUUCAUCAUCAUCAUCUCCAUUGGCAUCUUCUGCUACUGCUUCUUCAUCUUUAGCCAUACUACUUUCAGUGUUCUCAUUGGCAAUUGAGUCAAUUUCUCCUAGUAGUUCAUCAUCCUUCAGUGCUUCCUCCAAUUCACGUUCAAGCUUCGCAAGGUCCUCCUCAGUUAUAUCAUCAUCGUCCAAGGAUAGCUCAUCAUUUUUCAGAUCUUCUUCCAGCAGCUGAAAGAGUGCCUCAAAAGCAUCUUCAUCUAUAUCACCAACUUCC
rnacentral:misc_RNA from 1 species